CAGUAGCCGCGGUAAUACAGAGGGUGCGAGCGUUAAUCGGAUUUACUGGGCGUAAAGCGUGCGUAGGCGGCUUCUUAAGUCGGAUGUGAAAUCCCUGAGCUUAACUUAGGAAUUGCAUUCGAUACUGGGAAGCUAGAGUAUGGGAGAGGAUGGUAGAAUUCCAGGUGUAGCGGUGAAAUGCGUAGAGAUCUGGAGGAAUACCGAUGGCGAAGGCAGCCAUCUGGCCUAAUACUGACGCUGAGGUACGAAAGCAUGGGGAGCAAACAGGAUUAGAUACCCCAGUAGUCCCUGUCUCUUAUAA
rnacentral:rRNA from 1 species